GGGCCCAUAGCUCAGCUGGUUAGAGCGCACGCCUGAUAAGCGUGAGGUCAGCAGUUCAAGUCUGCUUGGGCCCACCA
rnacentral:tRNA from 1 species